rnacentral:rRNA from 1 species
AGAGUUUGAUCCUGGCUCAGAGCGAACGCUGGCGGCAGGCCUAAUACAUGCAAGUCGAACGCACCUUCGGGUGAGUGGCGGACGGGUGAGUAACGCGUGGGAACGUGCCCUUUGGUACGGAACAACUGAGGGAAACUUCAGCUAAUACCGUAUGUGCCCUUCGGGGGAAAGAUUUAUCGCCAUUGGAGCGGCCCGCGUUGGAUUAGGUAGUUGGUGGGGUAAAGGCCCACCAAGCCUACGAUCCAUAGCUGGUCUGAGAGGAUGAUCAGCCACACUGGGACUGAGACACGGCCCAGACUCCUACGGGAGGCAGCAGUAGGGAAUCUUGCGCAAUGGGCGAAAGCCUGACGCAGCCAUGCCGCGUGUAUGAUGAAGGUCUUAGGAUUGUAAAAUACUUUCACCGGGAAGAUAAUGACGGUACCCGGAGAAGAAGCCCCGGCUAACUUCGUGCCAGCCGCCGCCGUAAG